rnacentral:rRNA from 1 species
GCAAGUCGAGGGGUAAGGUCAAGCUUGCUUGACACACGACCGGCGCACGGGUGCGUAACGCGUAUGCAACCUACCCUUAACAGUGGGAUAGCCCGAAGAAAUUCGGAUUAAUACCGCAUAAUAUUCUGAAGCGACAUCGCUUUAGGAUCAAAACUCCGGUGGUUAAGGAUGGGCAUGCGUGACAUUAGCUAGUUGGUGAGGUAACGGCUUACCAAGACUACGAUAGAUAGGGGUUCUGAGAGGAUAGUC